rnacentral:rRNA from 1 species
CCCUUAGAUGUUCUGGGCCGCACGCGCGCUACACUGAUGCAUUCAACGAGCCUAUCCUUGACCGACAGGUCCGGGUAAUCUUUGAAUCUGCAUCGUGACGGGGAUAGAUUAUUGCAAUUAUUAAUCUUCAACGAGGAAUGCCUAGUAGGCGCAAGUCAUCAGCUUGCGUCGAUUACGUCCCUGCCCUUUGUACACACCGCCCGUCGCUCCUACCGAUUGGGUGUGCUGGUGAAAUGUUCGGGUCGGCCGUUUGUCGCGGUUUCCGCGUCAUGUGGCUGAGAAGUUCAUUAAACCCUCCCACCUAGAGGAAGGAGAAGUCGUAACA